rnacentral:rRNA from 1 species
UGGGGAAUAUUGCACAAUGGGCGCAAGCCUGAUGCAGCCAUGCCGCGUGUGUGAAGAAGGCCUUCGGGUUGUAAAGCACUUUCAGCGGGGAGGAAGGCGGUGAGGUUAAUAACCUCAUCGAUUGACGUUACCCGCAGAAGAAGCACCGGCUAACUCCGUGCCAGCAGCCGCGGUAAUACGGAGGGUGCAAGCGUUAAUCGGAAUUACUGGGCGUAAAGCGCACGCAGGCGGUCUGUCAAGUCGGAUGUGAAAUCCCCGGGCUCAACCUGGGAACUGCAUUCGAAACUGGCAGGCUUGAGUCUUGUAGGGGGGGGUAGAAUUCCAGGUGUAGCGGUGAAAUGCGUAGAGAUCUGGAGGAAUACCGGUGGCGAAGGCGGCCCCCUGGACAAAGACUGACGCUCAGGUGCGAAAGCGUGGGGAGCAAACAGG